ACUCCAUAAGCUCGGUGGGAGAGAUUACCUGAAAAGGUGGCGCAGGUUCGAAUCCUGCAUGGGGUA
rnacentral:tRNA from 1 species